rnacentral:rRNA from 1 species
UGGGGAAUUUUGGACAAUUGGGGAAACCCUGAUCCAGCCAUCCCGCGUGUGCGAUGAAGGCCUUCGGGUUGUAAAGCACUUUUGGCAUGAAAGAAACGUCAUGGGUUAAUACCCCGUGAAACUGACGGUACCUGCAGAAUAAGCACCGGCUAACUACGUGCCAGCAGCCGCGGUAAUACGUAGGGUGCAAGCGUUAAUCGGAAUUACUGGGCGUAAAGCGUGCGCAGGCGGUUCGGAAAGAAAGAUGUAAAAUCCCAGAGCUCAACUUUGGAACUGCAUUUUGAACUGCCGGGCUAGAGUGUGUCGGAGGGAGGAGGAAUUCCGCGUGUAGCAGUGAAAGGCGUAGAUAUGCGGAGGAACAACGAUGGCGAAGGCAGCCUCCUGGUAUAACACUGACGCUCAUGCACGAAAGCGUGGGGAGCAAACAGG